UAGGGAAUCUUCCGCAAUGGACGAAAGUCUGACGGAGCAACGCCGCGUGAGCGAAGAAGGCCUUCGGGUCGUAAAGCUCUGUUGUUAGGGAAGAACAAGUAUCGGAGUAACUGCCGGUACCUUGACGGUACCUAACCAGAAAGCCACGGCUAACUACGUGCCAGCAGCCGCGGUAAUACGUAGGUGGCAAGCGUUGUCCGGAAUUAUUGGGCGUAAAGCGCGCGCAGGCGGUCCUUUAAGUCUGAUGUGAAAGCCCACGGCUCAACCGUGGAGGGUCAUUGGAAACUGGGGGACUUGAGUGCAGAAGAGGAGAGUGGAAUUCCACGUGUAGCGGUGAAAUGCGUAGAGAUGUGGAGGAACACCAGUGGCGAAGGCGACUCUCUGGUCUGUAACUGACGCUGAGGCGCGAAAGCGUGGGGAGCAAACAGGAUUAGAUACCCUGGUAGUCCACGCCGUAAACGAUGAGUGCUAAGUGUUAGAGGGUUUCCGCCUUUAG
rnacentral:rRNA from 1 species